GAUCCCUAAGGCUAUUUGAGGCAAAAUUUUAUAAAGAAAAGGACAAAUGGACUCAAAAACAUGAAUUCGAUUUCUAGGCAACAAACAACAUGAUUUCACAAUCCAUAUUCUAGAGAAUAAUAUAACCAACGAAAACUGUGAGGCCUGUAUCUAUUCAGCUGGGAUAUACACCAAACCUCAUAGGAAUUCCAGCCUCAAAUAUGCUGGCAAUGGCAUGCUUAUAUAUAUACGUAUAAAGUUCUAUUUCCAGCCAGCAUCUUGGCACAUCCUCAAGGCCAAUGAAUUUCAUCAGCUUACUUCCUUGAGAAAGAAAGAUUUGAUUGCAGAAGGAGAAUCAUUAUGUUAUGUUCGUUGCGAGGGAAAUGACCAAAGGCCAUAGGACAUUUCAUAACCACUUCCUCCAACUGGUUGUUCUUCUGUCACCAGAAAAUAACCUAGGAAGGCUUAGAAGGCUAUUAACCCUUGUAAUACCUUCUAAGGCUGACCACUCCUCAUCCUGUGCGGUUGAAAUGCACUCAGCCAGACUCCUCUUUGACCGACUCUGGCUCUUCAAAGAAAGCUUCUCCUCUGUCAACUCAGGGACGGGUACAAUCUCAUCAGAACCCCGUAUUGUAUCCGAAUGACUAAGAACAUACACAUGAGAAUCUUCAUGCCUUUCCAGUUCACUAUUGAUUUCAUUGGUUUUUAACACACACUCUGAUGAUUCCUUUGGAAUCAUUUUCACAUCCGACUCUUCCACUUCCCCAUUUGCUUCAGAAAAAUGAUCAAGAAACAGGCAUACAACAGCACAAUCAUCAUUCUUGGAAGUAGGAUACUUAAGCUUCCAUGCUCGGACAGCACAGUCUACAAGUGCUCUGGCUGCUGUAGCCCGUCCAGGGGCUGAGGCCACAAUGUCAACAGCUUCCUUAUUUGAAAGGACAUCCCAAACCCCAUCAGUAGCAAGAAUGAUGAAUUCAUCUCUUUUGUUAAGCUGACGAUAAUAAACAUCUGGUAUAGAAAUUAAACCAAAAUCCUUCAGACAGAAGUCCCCAAAAGCUCUAGCCAUUGCUAGACCAGGAGAGUCAUUAUUAGGCAACCAUACACGUGCAACCUCUGGCUCAUCCUUCAAUGCAAAAACUCUUCCUUUACAUUGCUGGAUCCUGGCGGUUUCCCUUGGCAGAUCAGGUUUCAAGUCCACAGUCAAUUGUAUAGCAAGCAAAGAAUUGUCUUCAUCUCUAGUUGCCAGAACUGCUCUGGAGUCACCAAGAUUUCCGACUACAAGAUCCUGGCCCUGCUUUAUCAAAGUCACAGCAGUUGUUCCGCUGCAGAAACAAUCAAUUGUUGGAUGCAAUUUUAGAUCCUUAUCCAUCAACUUAAAUGCCUUCAGCAUAGACUUUUUCAGCGGUAGAUACAUCUCCGGGAGUUUUUCAUUUUGCUCAAACUCCAAAGAAUUAUGUGACUCAUCAUCCAUGCUUGCUGCAGAUGCAGUUUCCUCAGAAUUUGUGCUUCCAGGAGUGUUUCUAGCCUUAUGAGGGCUGCUCUGCUCAUCAUUUGAACCAUCUUUCCACUGAGUACACAGCAUCAGCGGAAGCGAAUCCCGAACUUCCUUGGAAACCAUAUGANNNNNNNNNNACCAUGACCAUCAAAUACCCCACAAAAAAUUGUAUCACUUCUUGAGAUGAAAUUCUCCCAAACAAGCAUGGCGUCUUGAUUGGUGCCUUUCUUGCCCUGUUGAGUGUACAAGCAGGCAAUCUUGGAUGCACCAUUCAUGCACAUCCUGCCAGGAAUUUGAUUGAGCACACUUUCAUCACCACCAUCAUCUCCAACUGAUUUCUUCUUCCACCUGUGCCUCUUAGGAGAAGCUCCUGAAGCAGCAGUAGUUUGCUCCACUGCACCAUUCUCAUCCAUCCCCCUCUUCCCCAUAGACGAGUAACAAGAUCCCAUUUAACACCACCACCUGCCCUUCCUUCCCAA
rnacentral:misc_RNA from 1 species